AAUCUACCUUCAACACUGGGAUAACUCCGGGAAACCGGGGCUAAUACCGGAUACGAGAACCGCAGGCAUCUGUGGCUCUGGAAAGUUUUUCGGUUGAAGAUGACCUUGCGGCCUAUCAGCUUGUUGGUGAGGUAAUGGCUCACCAAGGCGACGACGGGUAGCCGGCCUGAGAGGGCGACCGGCCACACUGGGACUGAGACACGGCCCAGACUCCUACGGGAGGCAGCAGUGGGGAAUAUUGGGCAAUGGAGGGAACUCUGACCCAGCGACGCCGCGUGCGG
rnacentral:rRNA from 1 species